GAUAUACCUGUUUUAAGAUAAAGCCAUGCAUGUCUCAGUGCAAGCCAAAUUAAGGUGAAACCGCGAAUGGCUCAUUAAAUCAGUUAUGGUUCCUUAGAUCGUACUUAUCCUACUUGGAUAACUGUGGUAAUUCUAGAGCUAAUACAUGCCACUUGAAUCCCGACCAGUAAUGGAAGGGAUGCUUUUAUUAGAUUAAAACCAAUCGGUCGGCUCGUCCGUCCGUAUCCUUGGUGACUCUGAAUAACUUUGGGCUGAUCGCAUGGUCUCUGUACCGGCGACGCAUCUUUCAAAUGUCUGCCUUAUCAACUGUCGAUGGUAGGUUCUGCGCCUACCAUGGUCGUUACGGGUAACGGGGAAUCAGGGUUCGAUUCCGGAGAGGGAGCCUGAGAAACGGCUACCACAUCCAAGGAAGGCAGCAGGCGCGCAAAUUACCCACUCCCGGCACGGGGAGGUAGUGACGAAAAAUAACGAUACGGGACUCAUCCGAGGCCCCGUAAUCGGAAUGAAUACACUUUAAAUCCUUUAAUAAGAAUCUAUCGGAGGGCAAGUCUGGUGCCAGCCGCCGCGGUAAUUCCAGCUCCGAUAGCGUAUAUUAAAGUUGUUGCGGUUAAAAAGCUCGUAGUUGGAUCUGGGUCUCGGACGGUCGGUUCGCCGCCCGGCGUUUAACUGACCGUUCCGGACGUCCUGCCGGUUUUCCUUCCUCGGUGCUCUUCAUUGAGUGUCUUGGUUGGCCGGCACGUUUACUUUGAACAAAUUAGAGUGCUCAAAGCAGGCCGUGUCGCCUGAAUGUUCGGUGCAUGGAAUAAUGGAAUAGGACCUCGGUUCUAUUUUGUUGGUUUUCGGAACUCGAGGUAAUGAUUAAUAGGGACAGACGGGGGCAUUAGUAUUGCGACGUUAGAGGUGAAAUUCUUGGAUCGUCGCAGACUAACCGAUGCGAAAGCAUUUGCCAAGAAUGUUUUCAUUAAUCAGACGAAAGUUAGAGUUCGAAGCGAUCAGAUACGCCCUAGUCUACAUAAACGAUGCAGCAGCGAUCGCGAGUCUCAUGACUCGGCGGGCAGCCUCGGGAACAAAGCUUUGGGUUCCGGGGGAAGAUAUGGUUGCAAGCUGAACUUUAAGAAUUGA
rnacentral:rRNA from 1 species